GGGGUCUGUCACCAAGGUAGUAAGAUGGCUUUUUCAAAGUUUCAUCCUCUGGGCUCCUGGCUUCCAUAAGACCUACCCAAAGGCCCUGCUGGGCUAUUGACUGCUCACUAUCCCUGCAUGUCAACUCUUUACCUGUGCACAGUUAUGCAAGUACAGCCCUUCUCAGUUCCCUGGAAAGACCUGAAUGCAGCCAGGGCCUCAGGUGUGAGAUCACAGAUCCAGGUCACGCUGUUAUAGCAAAGAUAGACUGAGCCGCUUAUCAACAACAGAAUGUUCUUCUUCACAGUUCUGGAGGACAGAAGUUGAAGAUCAGAACGCCAGCAUGGAUGGAGUCUGAAAGCAAGCUCCAGUGUUAUGAGCUGCCCUGUGCAGAGGCCUACACAACAGAGAAUGAGGGAGUGCCCAGGCCAGGGGAGACUCUCAGGCUCUCAGUCUACACUGAAUCCAGCCGAUACCCACAUGAGUGUGCCUCGAAGCCAAUCCUCCCACAGCCCAGCUUCAGCUGAGAACACAGCCCCAGCCUCAUUGCAGGCAGCCAGCAAAGCUGUGUCCAGAUUCUAGUCCACCUAAGUCAUGAGAUAAGUAAGCAUUUGUUGUUCGAAGGUGCUAAGUUUGGGGAUAAUGACGUCAGAGAGAAGCAGAUCACUAUCUUCUUCUUCCAGGCCUCAGAGUCCUCCUUGCCUCUCUACUUCUCUUCCCCAGGCUCCCUCUAGCCCCACUGGCCUCUUUCUCACAUCCUCUGCCAAAGUCACUUCUGCCUGCAUGUCUCUGCACCAGGAGUGGCAUCUCCCUGAUACACUGUUCCCAGACUUGUGCAGGGCUAGCCCUCUGUUGUCAUCCUAGUCAUGGCAUAAAUGUCACCUCAGUGAGGCAUUUGGGUCCCUCAAAUGCUAUGGCUCCCCAGCCCUCCCUCCCAACAUCCUACUUUAAUUAUAGCAUUUACUCUUCUUU
ensembl:lncRNA novel transcript